CACGUAGGGUGCGAGCGUUGUCCGGAAUUAUUGGGCGUAAAGCGCGUGUAGGCGGCCCGGUAAGUCCGCUGUGAAAGUCGGGGGCUCAACCCUCGGAUGCCGGUGGAUACUGUCGGGCUCGAGUACGGAAGAGGCGAGUGGAAUUCCUGGUGUAGCGGUGAAAUGCGCAGAUAUCAGGAGGAACACCAAUUGCGAAGGCAGCUCGCUGGGACGUUACUGACGCUGAGACGCGAAAGCGUGGGGAGCGAACAGG
rnacentral:rRNA from 1 species